rnacentral:lncRNA from 1 species
AAGNGAAAAUGAAAAAUAGCAGAAGAGGGCUGCCCAGAAAGCUGGUUCAAGAUUCAGAGCACCAACAGAAGCUGGAACAAGAGCAAAACUGAACAAAAUAAGUGAAAAGACGAAAGAAAAUAAGCAAUUACAAAGUGGGAAAUAAGGUUGUUUUUUGGUUGUAGGAUCCUAGAAAAUGUGAAUUGAGAGCGUCUGAAGAAUUAACAUUAUUGAGGUGUUUUAACUUUUUCUUAAAAUUGGAGAGACAUUGGUACGAUAAUGGAGUGGCGAAUGGAAUCUUCAGAGGAAAAGUUGGAGGUUUGUAGUAUAUUACUACAUACUGCCAUUGCCUCGUUUUCUGUAGCUGUGAGGACUAUAAUUGCGGGGUGAAAUAUGAGAGAAUCAAUGUCGG